rnacentral:rRNA from 1 species
AAUAGAUACCCUGGUAGUCCACGCCGUAAACGAUGAGUGCUAAGUGUUGGGGGGUUUCCGCCCCUCAGUGCUGCAGCUAACGCAUUAAGCACUCCGCCUGGGGAGUACGGCCGCAAGGCUGAAACUCAAAGGAAUUGACGGGGGCCCGCACAAGCGGUGGAGCAUGUGGUUUAAUUCGAAGCAACGCGAAGAACCUUACCAGGUCUUGACAUCCCGCUGCCCGGUAUAGAGAUAUAUCUUUCCCUUCGGGGACAGCGGUGACAGGUGGUGCAUGGUUGUCGUCAGCUCGUGUCGUGAGAUGUUGGGUUAAGUCCCGCAACGAGCGCAACCCUUGAUCUUAGUUGCCAGCAUUUAGUUGGGCACUCUAAGGUGACUGCCGGUGACAAACCGGAGGAAGGUGGGGAUGACGUCAAAUCAUCAUGCCCCUUAUGACCUGGGCUACACACGUGCUACAAUGGAUGGUACAAAGGGCUGCAAGACCGCGAGGUUUAGCCAAUCCCAUAAAACCAUUCUCAGUUCGGAUUGCAGG